UCAACCCCAAGUUUAGAAUCUGCAAGGGUUCUAACACCUGGUAUCAGAGCAGCGUUCUUAGCAUCUCGCUGCCCUUCCAUAGCCAUCCAUCAGCCCUCCACAGCCGCCCAAAGCAAUUCCCAUAAUUGCUUAAAAGAUCGUCGCUAAAUUCCGCCAUCAUCUCCACCACCGCGGAUCAUCCCGUGAAUUGCAACAAGUUCUGGUUUCCUACCUUACUGCUGCUACAAUUUAGUUAUCCCUAUCCGAAAAUCCAAAAAAAAAAA
rnacentral:lncRNA from 1 species